rnacentral:rRNA from 1 species
GACGAACGCUGGCGGCGUGCUUAACACAUGCAAGUCGAACGGAAAGGCCCCUUUGGGGGUACUCGAGUGGCGAACGGGUGAGUAACACGUGAGUAACCUGCCCUUGACUUCGGGAUAACUUCAGGAAACUGGGGCUAAUACCGGAUAGGAAUCCUUGCUGCAUGGUGGGGGUUGGAAAGCUUCGGCGGUUUUGGAUGGACUCGCGGCUUAUCAGCUUGUUGGUGGGGUAGUGGCUUACCAAGGCUUUGACGGGUAGCCGGCCUGGGGGGGCGACCGGCCACAUUGGGACUGAGGUACGGCCCAGACUCCUACGGGAGGCAGCAGUGGGGAAUAUUGCACGAUGGGCGGAAGCCUGAUGCAGCAACGCCGCGUGCGGGAUGACGGCCUUCGGGUUGUAAACCGCUUUCAGCAGGGGCGAAGCUUGUGGUGACGGUACCUGCAGAAGAAGCACCGGCUAACUACGUG